rnacentral:rRNA from 1 species
UACGAGGGAUGCAAGCGUUAUCCGGAAUUAUUGGGCGUAAAGCGUUUGUAGGCGGGCGAGUGUGUUUAAUGUUAAAUCUUAAAGCUCAACUUUGAAAUUGCGUUAAAAACUGCUUGUCUUGAGUAUGGUAGGGGUAAAGGGAAUUCCCAGUGUAGCGGUGAAAUGCGUAGAUAUUGGGAAGAACACUAAACAGCGAAGGCACUUUACUAGGCUAAUACUGACGCUGAGAAACGAAAGGUAAGGUAGCGAAACGGAUUAGAUACCCGUGUAGUCUUACCCGUAAACUAUGGACACUAAACGGUAAAUUUUUAAUUUACUGUUAAAGCUAACGCGUUAAGUGUCCCGCCUGGGGAGUAUGCUUGCAAAAGUGAAGCUCAAAGGAAUUGACGGGGGCCCGCACAAGCGGUGGAGCAUGUGGUUUAAUUCGACGGUACACGAAGAACCUUACCAGGAUUUGACAUGCUAGAUAGUUGCUUGAAAGAGUAACGUGCCGUAAGGAAUCUAGACACAGGUGGUGCAUGGCUGUCGUCAGUUCGUGUUGUGAAAUGUUGGGUUAAGUCCCGCAACGAACGCAACCCUUGUCUUUAGUUAUUUUCUAAAGAGACUGCCUGUAAUAAACAGGAGGAAGGUAAGGAUGAGGUCAAGUCAUCAUGCCCCUUAUGUCCUGGGCUACACACGUGCUACAAUGGGAAAGACAAUGAGCUGCAAAUCUGUAAAUUUAAGCAAAUCUCUUAAACUUUCUCGUAGUUCGGAUUGUGGGCUGCAACUCGCCCACAUGAAGUUGGAAUCGCUAGUAAUCGCCAGUCAGCUAUAUGGCGGUGAAUCCGUUCCCGGGCCU